UGGAGCUGGAGGAGGAUGACUUCAUCAUUCGGUUGACUCCAACGCCCUCCCCUCCCCUCCCCUGGAUGGCGCGGAGCGGCUCUGCACCACUGCCGGCCGGCUUAUUUCAGGAGAUCAACUGCACACAUGAGCGGCAGAGGGUCGCUUCGCGGUCUGGUCUGAGAUCAGUGGAUCUGUGCUCUUAACUAACGUUACUGCUGUCAACUCACUGGGUGGUGCAGCGUCAUAGGUUGCAGUACGUUGAGAAAGCAGACGUGACAUGGCCAGCGAAAAACAAUUGAAACUGUUUGGCUUUUUCAAACGAAAGGCAAAGGAUCUCUGGCGUAUAUCAAACAACAAAAGAGCAGUCAGGUGAUGGAGAGAAGGGAGAUCAACAGGAGGUGCUGAACAUUUGCUUAAUGAUACAUUACAUGCAACC